UACGUAGGGGGCAAGCGUUGUCCGGAUUUAUUGGGCGUAAAGAGCGUGUAGGCGGCCAUACAGGUCCGUUGUGAAAACUGGAGGCUUAACCUCCAGACGUCGAUGGAAACCGUAUGGCUAGAGUCCGGAAGAGGAGAGUGGAAUUCCUGGUGUAGCGGUGAAAUGCGCAGAUAUCAGGAAGAACACCCGUGGCGAAGGCGGCUCUCUGGGACGGUACUGACGCUGAGGAGCGAAAGCGUGGGUAGCAAACAGG
rnacentral:rRNA from 1 species